GGUGGAUUAGGCAUGCAAGUCGAACGAAUCCCACCUGGGCAACUGGGUGGGGGAAGUGGCGAAAGGGGCAGUAAAGCAUGGGUAACCUACCCCGGGGAUCGGGAUAGCCGUCCUAACGGACGGGUAAUACCGGGCGAUCUGGCGAGGAGACAUCUCCUUGCCAGGAAAGGAAUUUCGCCUCGGGAGGGGCUCAUGUAGUAUUAGCUUGUUGGCGGGGUAACGGCCCACCAAGGCCAAGAUGCCUAGCGGGUGUGAGAGCACGACCCGCGCCACUGGCACUGAGACACUGGCCAGACUCCUACGGGAGGCUGCAGUCGAGGAUCUUCGGCAAUGGGCGCAAGCCUGACCGAGCGACGCCGCGUGUGCGAUGAAGGCCUUCGGGUUGUAAAGCACUGUCGAGGGGGAGAAAAGCCGGGAAACCGGUCUGAUCUAUCCCUGGAGGAAGCACGGGCUAAGUUCGUGCCAGCAGCCGCGGUAAGACGAACCGUGCGAACGUUGUUCGGAUUCACUGGGCUUAAAGGGCGCGUAGGCGGACGGUCAAGUCGGGGGUGAAAUCUUUCAGCUUAACUGGAAACGUGCCUCCGAUACUGAUCGUCUCGAGGGAGGCAGGGGCAUGCGGAACUUCCGGUGGAGCGGUGAAAUGCGUAGAUAUCGGAAGGAACGCCGGUGGCGAAAGCGGCGUGCUGGACCUCUUCUGACGCUGAGGCGCGAAAGCUAGGGGAGCGAACGGGAUUAGAUACCCCGGUAGUCCUAGCCCUAAACGAUGGGUACUAGAUUGUGGACUUAACAUGGGUUCCCAAUCGAAGCCAAAGUGUUAAGUACCCCGCCUGGGGAGUAUGGUCGCAAGGCUGAAACUCAAAGGAAUUGACGGGGGCUCACACAAGCGGUGGAGCAUGUGGCUUAAUUCGAGGCUACGCGAGAACCUUAUCCUGGACUUGACAUGUG
rnacentral:rRNA from 1 species